GGGCUGUUAGCUCAGUCGGUAGAGCAGUUGGCUUUUAACCAAUUGGUCGAAGGUUCGAAUCCUUCACAGCCCA
rfam:Shewanella pealeana ATCC 700345, complete genome.